rnacentral:rRNA from 1 species
AAUAGAUACCCCGGUAGUCCACGCCGUAAACGAUGAGUGCUAAGUGUUAGAGGGUUUCCGCCCUUUAGUGCUGCAGCUAACGCAUUAAGCACUCCGCCUGGGGAGUACGGCCGCAAGGCUGAAACUCAAAGGAAUUGACGGGGGCCCGCACAAGCGGUGGAGCAUGUGGUUUAAUUCGAAGCAACGCGAAGAACCUUACCAGGUCUUGACAUCCUCUGACACUCCUAGAGAUAGGACGUUCCCCUUCGGGGGACAGAGUGACAGGUGGUGCAUGGUUGUCGUCAGCUCGUGUCGUGAGAUGUUGGGUUAAGUCCCGCAACGAGCGCAACCCUUGAUCUUAGUUGCCAGCAUUCAGUUGGGCACUCUAAGGUGACUGCCGGUGACAAACCGGAGGAAGUGGGGAUGACGUCAAAUCAUCAUGCCCCUUAUGACCUGGGCUACACACGUGCUACAAUGGAUGGUACAAAGGGCAGCGAAGCCGCGAGGUGGAGCCAAUCCCAUAAAACCAUUCUCAGUUCGGAUUGC